rnacentral:rRNA from 1 species
UAAUACGUAGGGUGCAAGCGUUAAUCGGAAUUACUGGGCGUAAAGGGUACGCAGGCGGCUAGGAAAGAAGGAUGUGAAAUCCCAGGGCUCAACCUUGGAACUGCAUUCUUAACUGCCUAGCUAGAGUAUGUCAGAGGGGGGUAGAAUUCCACGUGUAGCAGUGAAAUGCGUAGAUAUGUGGAGGAAUACCGAUGGCGAAGGCAGCCCCCUGGGAUAAUACUGACGCUCAGGUACGAAAGCGUGGGGAGCAAACAGG